UUCAUCAAGUCCAUUGAUGCCUCCGCCCAUUGCAAGAAUGCCACCUACCUAUGUGAGCAGAUAGAGGAGGUGAUUGAAGAUGUGGGUGAGGAGAACGUGGUACAGGUGGUGACCGACAAUGCAGCAAAUUAUGUUGCUGCAGGUAGACUAUUGAUGGAGAGGCACCCAUCUAUAGUUUGGACUCCAUGUGCUGCUCAUUGCAUUGACCUCAUGUUGGAGGAUAUUGGAAAAAUCCCAUGGGUCAAGAAAUGUGUAGAAAGGGCAAGAAAUGUUUGCAAAUUUGUAUAUAAUCAUUCAUGGGUGUUGGCUCUUAUGAGACAAUACACAGAGCAGAAGGAGUUGCAUCGUCUAGGAAUCACAAGAUUUGCCACAAACUUCCUCACAUUGCAAUCCAUGCUUAGGUCUAAGUCUGCCUUGAGAGACGUAUGAUUGUUGUUGAGGAGUGGUCUUCCUCAUCCUAUGCUACCACCCCCGCAGGGAUAGAUAUGGCAGACUGCAUUUUUGAUGAGCAAGGCUUUUGGGUCCCUUGUGAUGAGAUAGUGAUGUUUGUUAAGCCCUUGGUGGUUUUGUUGCGAGUUGCGGAUGGAGAUAAGCCCACAAUGGGCUAUAUAUAUGAGGGCAUGGAUAGGGCGAAGGAGGCCAUCAGAUUCGUCUAUGGAGCAGAUGAGAGCAAGUAUGGUCCCAUUUGGGAGAUCAUUGAUAGGAGAUGGCAUCAUCAGCUUCAUAGGCCCAUCCAUGCGGCAGCCUAUUAUCUGAAUCCGGCAUUCCGUUUUAUCCCUUCUUUCAAGGCUGAUGUGGAGGUCCUUAAUGGGCUAUAUGCAAUCAUGGAGAAGAUGGGACCUGCUGGUACUUCUCAGAUAGACCUUUUUCGAGAGCUAUAGAUGUUCUCAGAUGCACAAGGGGAGACCUUCUCUUGUCCUGUCGCCAAAGACGGUAGGACAACUAUGAUGCCAGAUCAUUGGUGGAACUUUUUUGGCCCAGAGACACCAAAUAUUCAGAAGUUGGCCAUUCGCAUCUUGAGCCAACCAUGCAGUGCAUCAGGUUGUGAGUGCAAUUGGAGUAUGUUUGAGCACAUACACUCCAAGAGGCGCAAUAGAUUAUCUGUGGAGAAGAUGAAUGAUCUCGUCGUUGUUCACUACAACCUCUGCCUAAGAAUGAGAAAGAAUGCAGUAGUUGACAUGUCUCCUAUCAUUCUAGAUGAGGUUGAUCUUGAAGCAGAGUGGGCCAAUGAGAAUCAGACAGCUCCUGGGACUCCUACAGCUGUAUUUAGUGAUGAUGACAUUGAUUGGAUUGACCAGGUAGAUAUAGAGGUUGAGGUUGUAGCCAUGGCAGAGGAGGA